UUAGUUGACCUGAUUUCUUUUUCAUGCAGAUUAUUCCAGAGAUUUGAGGCUAUGACUGCAAGAGCUUCCACCUGAAGUUUUCAGUCAGACCCCUGGGACACACGAGACAUCAGUCCUAGGAUCUCUCUAUAUAAAAUGGCAUUCACAAAACUGAGUGUGAUACAGCAGCUUGCUUCCAUCUCCAUGCAGCUCUCCUUCAUUUCUCGACUCUCCCCACUCCCUGUCAGUAGAAGGGGCCUUCACACUCCCAUUUCAUCGCCAGCUCUGUAAUUAAAACGCUGUAAUCUAGGUGGAUCGUCUCUAUUUUUAA